CUCCACUAGCCGCGCCCCGCUGCCAGCGCAGACCCGCCGCGGGAACACGCGCGGGAGCACGCGCGGACUCCGGGACUCCCGGCUCACGCACACUUGCUGCUUUCGGACUCCCGAAGCCCCGAAGCAACCAGCACGAACCCGCACCCCGGCACCCUAGGCCAAACUCGCACGUUGAUGCGCGCACAUGUCAAGAGGGCGCAAGCAGGGAAAGGGAGGCUGAGGACGGGCGGGAGGGGAAGGGCAUCGACCCAGUGCGGCCGUCUGGCAGAUACAGAAAUUAGGAUGCAGAGAAGUGAAGGGACUUGUCCAAGGCCAUACAGCUAGUAAGUGAUGGAGCUGGAAUUCGAACCCAGAGAGCUAAGGUUGCAGAGCAGCCAAUUAACCUGAAUUCCAAAGGACAGGAGCCUCCAAGAAGAAAUGGGAUGCAGGCACUGGCACACUUAUGAAGCAGGAGGAAGACAAGGUCUCCACACAAGCAGCAGGUCAGCACUAUAAGAAACAGUUAAGGAAGUUCUGGAGGCAGAAAGAAUAUGAUACCAAAGAGAAACCUGGAUCUACAUAUUGAAAUGAAGAUUCCUGGAAAUGGAUGGAAUAACAGUAAAUAUAAAACAUUUUUCUGUUUUUAGUCACCUUAAAAGUAACAGACUGUGUAAAGCAAAAGAAUAUCAAUUCACUGUGGGUUCAGAGAUAUAUAAAAGGAAAAUGUAUGACAAUAACAAUAGUAAAAAAUGAUGGGAUGAGGAAUUAGAAAUAUACUGUUAAAGAGUCCUUAUGCUACCAUAUAUAAGAAGUGGUAUAAUAUUAUUUGAAGAUUGACUUCAUUAAUUAAAGAUAUAUGGUAUAAAUGCAAGGGCAACCACUUAAAAAAAACCUUUAAGGGAUAUAAUCAACAAGCCAAUAGUAGAGAUAAAAUGGAAUCGUAAAAAUAUUGGAAUGCAUCCUACCUGGGCUUCUCUGUGUUCAAUAUGACUGGUUGAAUAUGUCAAGACUUCUCUUUCACCUGGACCCUUGCUCAGGAUUGUUAAUACAGGUGGCAAUUUUGAGAGGUGAGAUCAGUCUUUCUAAAACAAAGGCAAGCUUGUUUAGUGCUUGCUAUAAAAGUGCUGGAUCUGGGUUUCUCAGCCACACUGUAUGUGAACUGUGCAUCUAGGACCACUGUGUCAUUGUUGGACUUAGGGUUGAGGGAACCAACACAAAAUGAUGCCAAUGUUCAUGUUGUUUGAUGUGCUAUGAGUAAUAAAGUGUCUUGCCUGCAUACAGUAAGUCUCAUUGUCUGCUUUUGGUACCCAUGAGGUUAAGGCUUUUUUCCAUGACAAAGCA